ACCAAUUCAUCCUUUUCACCGAACACCUAGUAAUCGACGUGAUAGAGCUUUCAUUUUCAAGCAAACCCUAUAAACUUUCUCUCUGCCACACUCGCACACAAAUACACAUAACCUCAUAUCAACAUAAAAUCAAAAAAAAUCUGCUCGCAUUAGAAGAAUUAGUGAAAUAAAAGAAAGGGGUUAGGAAUCACCAUGACUAAACCCAGCGACGACGUCGGGGCUGCGGACGGUAGGGAGGAGCAGAGGGUAUGGCCGACCAGCAAGGAGGCAGGGAGCAUCGUGGUGAAGGAGAUGGGGGGGGCAAGCACCAGGGCACACUCUUCCAUGGGAUCGGCGUUAGGGAUGAUGAAGAUCUAGUCCGUGGCGAGACCGGCGUCCAAACCAAGUAUCAUUGCCGGCGGCGUCCAUGGCUGGGGGCAGGGGCGAGCUCAUGACUGGGGAGGGUGCAGCUGGUGAGCUGCAGGGGAGGAGCACGCCAUAAGAGGGAGCAAGGGAGGGCGGCAUGAGAGAGCAGGAGCAGGGAGCCGAGAGGGUGAGGGUGGUCGGUGCUGCUGCCAGGAGCUGCCCGCGUGAGGAAGAUG
rnacentral:lncRNA from 1 species